UUUAAGUUGCACGCGUACAUGACUUUCCGUUUGUGCCUUGAAUAAUGAAUAAGGCUACGUCCACACGUACCAGGGUAUUUUUGAAACCGCUGAUUUUUCUAUGCGUUUGCACCUUUUGUCCACACGUAAUGUAUGUCUGGCCGUACAUUGUGUUUGUAUUUCCAGGCACAUUUCACGAAGCAGAACGCAGUCUUCAGAGAUAUCCACGUGAACGCUGUGAUACGUCUGACCUUCAGUCCGAAGAAGAAACCCAGACCAGUCUUAAAAGAAAGCACAAACCAAAUCCCCUGUACACAUAUACGGACUCAGAGGAUGAGCAGCCUACAAAAAAACGGUUUCCCCAGGCCCCUCGAGUGAAAAUACCAGCCCUCAUCACUCCGCAGUCUGCCCCCCAGCCCACUGAUAGCAACCAUCAUAAUGCCCCACCCAGCCUUCGGCACCUUUCGCCACUCCGGCACAAACCGACACAGCUUUGCGAUCUCGCCAGCAUGCAGAGUCUGAUGUCUUCCCUAUAGAUGAUUCCAGAGACUCUGUGGGGCCACUAUUGCAAGGCAAGUUUGAAAAUCUUGGAAUUUCACAGUUUACAUGGUAUAACAAAUAUAUGUGACAGGCAAAAACUAGUAAACACUUUUAGCAGUUACAAGAACUAACAAAUGAAUAUCCAACAAAAGGGAAUAGAAAUACAUUGUACUGCCAAUACUUUGGUUUAUUCUUUGUAUGACUUGAAAAUCAGGCUUUAGGGAAAACCAAAUGACAUGUUUCUAUCAUCAAUUACAUGAAGUAAACACACAAGCACUUGCAUACACAUUUAAGACAUGAGACACGCUAAUUCCAUCUCUUAAAAUGUGUCUAUAGGUGAGACGCUUUGCGUUGAUUGGUGCUGCUAGACCACACUGGAGGUGCGAGUCCGCCGUGUAAUGGUUUAUGCCAUUACAAAGGAGCUGGCCUCUGUACUCAACUGGGCAGGGGAAAAAAUACCAAGGACCAGACAAAGCAAAAAAGGGCAUUUAAAGAGACAGCGCUGUGCAGAUGCAUAUUUGAUGGCCUGGCGCAGCAGGUAGGGGCGAACUCUAUGUCUGAGUUGGUCUUUGCUCAAGCAGUCCAGAAAUGGCUCAGAUAUGCUCCAGAUCGUACGGGUGGCACGCAGGACGCACAUCAUCCAUCCCCAUCCCGGAGUAAAUAAUAAAAAGUGACGUGAAACAUAGAAAUGUAAAUAGGAAACUUUGUCUUUUAAUAAAGUAUUUUGC